UUGAGUUGUGUGUUUUGAUUUGAAUCAGAUUUAUUAUUAUACAAAUAUUUGAAUAUUUGACAAGAUUUGAUUUGCAUUGAAUUAGCGUGGAAUAUAUUAUUAUGCUAUUCAUGGCAUUUAUUUAAAAACAUCAUAUCUAUGAUAAUAUCUGAAAUAUCUAGUUGAGAUAUUCAUUACUUACUGGGCUGUCGAGCUCAUUACCCGUCUUUUUAUCUUUUUUUCAGAUUUAGCUAAUUAAUUAUAAGCAUGGACAAUAAUUUUGGGAGAGAUUUUAGAAGCAAGAUUUGGCAUUGUCAACUUCGUUGAACUUAGAUUUAUUUUUAUAUUAAUUUUAGUGAAACUUUAUUUGAUGUAAAAUAUUUGAUUUAAUUAUUUGAAUUAAAGUUAAAUAAUAAUUAUUUGAAUUUCAAUUCCGCUGUGAUGCAUUGAUAUCGUCUUUAAGAUGCCUUGCAUGCUUGUAGAGAGAAUUUUCUAUAAGUAUGCGGACGGUUGCCAUGACCUUCGGCUCGCAAUCUCGGAUCGGAAGCGUGACAAUUAAUAUGGCAUCAGAACAUAAAUGGAUAAACUAUGAUACAUAGAAUCAGACAUAUGAGUGUAGGCAGAUAGACAUUAGUGACAUUGAGACGAUAGCUUAUAUUGAUUUUGAUAACUUAGAAACUUAGAUUUGACACAAG
rnacentral:lncRNA from 1 species